UCCGGGCGGAGCCCCCUCCCGCCCCAGGCCCAGCAUGGGGCGGGCAGAGCGGGUGCCCGGGUGUGCGCAGCUGGGGGGGGUCGCUGCUUCCACCCCGAGGGGAGCCCCAUUUCACCCAGUGUAAGGGAGACGGGAGAGCAGGUGCCCCCAAGAGUAUCAGGGAAUCGCUGGGGCACCUCCUCGGCCCGCUGACCCCAACUGCUGUUCGGGGGUCCGUGUUUUGGGGGAGCAUCUCCCCUUCUCCCUGUCGGGUGUUUGGCUUGCAGGGUCCCUUCUCCUGUAAUCUCACCCUGUCGGGGAGCCCCUGAGGGCAGUGGACUUGCCUUCAGCUUAGGCCUCCAAAGAAAGAGCUGGAGAAACAGCCUCACCGAGGCCACAAAGUUCUGCAACCCCGGGAGUGGGGGGGGGAGCAGAGUGGAGCCACAAAGGCAGUCACAGGCCUGGAGGACCCCCUGGCAUCUGUGCCUUCAUGCAAGGCUCCAGGGCCCCAUCUUUCAAGGCCCUCCCUGCACACUUCACCACUGCUCUGCUCCCCCCCUUCCUCCCCGCCCCCCUCACUGCACCCCCAAUGUCAUGAACUGAAAGAGCAGCUGAUUCGCGGGCCCCACAUCCAAGUGGGGACCCUCCUAUCUUUGGACCUCUCGGCUGGCGCGGCUCCUCUCCCCGACAGUGCAGACAACUCACUGACUUUAUGACUCUGGGGGCCUGGGUGGAGAUGAUGGUGGAUACUUGAGGCUGCUGGUACCCAAAACUCAGCCCUAACCCUGAGCACAGCAUUGCCCUCCUCUCUGGGGGCUCUGCCCUGUACACCGCCCCUCCCAGGUGUGCCAACCACUGUUUCCUGCCCUCCCCUUUCUUCUGUUGAAGUCCCAGUAGCUCUGUGAGUGCUCCCCGAGUCCAGAGCUGCCCCAUAUCUGAUUCCACUUCCUUCCCUGGGCAGAAGCCUCUCACCAGGAACGGAGACCUUCAUGCAGGGGAGUGGCUCCCUUUGGCAGAAGGUGCACAGCCGUGGGGCGGCGAGUCUGAGAACCCACGGGACCAGGUCAUACUGAGUAAGAGUGGGAAGGGGAACCAGGCCUGUAGGAUUCCUGGGGUGCAGCAUCAGGUCACUGGGAAGGGACACGGAGUGCCCCCCAAAGCAGGACAGCGGGAGAUCUGUACAAUUGUUGUAUUCUUUAUAACCUUUUCCUAAGAGACAUGCCCUGUACCUUCAGCUGCAGCCAUUUCUCUUUUGCUUGAAAAUGCUCAUAUAAUCAAUCCCGUGAUGUAUUUUCUGUUUCAGGCUAAUGAACAGCACCCCUGGUGUUGAUGCAGCUCAGGGUGACCGGGAAGCUCAGGUAAGUGACACUCAGAUGGGAGAGCUUUGAUUACAACAAAUAAAUGAAAAAUGAAUCUGUGUUAAUAAAAACCAUGAUCAAUGUUGUCAUCGCCUCUGGAGAUCAUCUCAUUUGUGGCUCCCCCACACGAGUAUCUUCUCAUUUUGAGAGAAAUACUUUAGCCUGAAACUGCAAUGAAAUAAAAUAAAUUGCAUACAGGUAGUGAAUCCCCCACCUGAUAUGUUACUCUUUCCUAUUAUGGAACAUUCAUAAAACAGAGCAUUAAAAAAAAAUCCACCUUGGUGUUAUUUUUCUACAAAGACACAUUAGAUGUAUUUGGGGAAGAGGGAGAAAGAAUAUUCCCGAGAUAAAACUGGUUUAUCAUGUUAUAGAGGAUAUGGUAUUAAAAUAAUGCCACUGUGGAGCUACCACAAAAGUUCAGGUGAGCGUUUUAAUGCCCCCGGUUCUCCUACUGCCUGUGGCGUCUCCAUUUAAUGAACCAGGGUUUGAGCUUUAGGAGAGACAGAAAGUUAAAGCCACAGUUGAACUAUCAACGAUGAUCUUUGCCAGGACACUGGAUUGAUACUGAUCUGUGACAGCCUGAGCUGCACAUGGGAAUUCCAUUCUAUUCUAUUCUGUCCUAUUCUUUUUCUUUUUGUAAAGGCAAGGAAUUAGUCACAGAGAGAAGCUUUCAGUUAUACAAAAUUUUGUUUUAUGAAAUAUCCUGGCCCCAUUCAUUAUUCGGUCCUGCUCCUCUCGUAGGUGUAGACAACUUUCAGGACUCUUGUGUUUGGAAACUGGAAGGGCACAGACUUUGAGAUGUCAGUCAAUAGUAUGGAGGCAAGACUAGUCCACAUUUUGGAUGCAGCUAGAGUGUUUAUUCUCACUGCUGUAUAACAGUCCACUCGAUGCUGUUGUUUACAUUGUGUUCUACUCAGAUGCCGGGCGAGGGUCCCACAUGGCGCCAGACCUCUCCUGCCGCUUGCUGCUCCCCUCAAAGUGUACUUCGGUCCUUCUGCCUGUUCUCCUCCCCGCUCUGGCUCUGGUGAAUCCUUUCACCCUACCGCGCUUCUGACUGUA